rnacentral:rRNA from 1 species
GGGGAGCAAACAGGAUUAGAUACCCUGGUAGUCCACGCCGUAAACGAUGUCGAUUUGGAGGUUGUGCCCUUGAGGCGUGGCUUCCGGAGCUAACGCGUUAAAUCGACCGCCUGGGGAGUACGGCCGCAAGGUUAAAACUCAAAUGAAUUGACGGGGGCCCGCACAAGCGGUGGAGCAUGUGGUUUAAUUCGAUGCAACGCGAAGAACCUUACCUGGUCUUGACAUCCACAGAACUUAGCAGAGAUGCUUUGGUGCCUUCGGGAACUGUGAGACAGGUGCUGCAUGGCUGUCGUCAGCUCGUGUUGUGAAAUGUUGGGUUAAGUCCCGCAACGAGCGCAACCCUUAUCCUUUGUUGCCAGCGGUU